UUUCAAGCUAAGAGGAUUAUGAAGACGGGAAAUUAUUUUCAGAAAAUCUCAGCUUUCUAGAUGGCAAAUUUAUUAUAUCUGUUCAUGAAUAAAGGAAAUAUCAAUUUUUUAGAUGGCAAAGGAAAUAUGAUAUUCUCAUCCCGGGAACCAUCUGAAUCUCUGUUCAACACAAGGUUUUGAUUAAGUUUCAUUUGAAUACAUUCAUGGGUAAUUUGUCCUCCACAUAUAGUCAAGAGUUCGUCUUCCACAAAGAGAUAAAACAGCGGAGUGUGAGCAGCUUAAGAAGAGAGGAACCACCUGGAAAGUCCUCACCAAGUGCAAGCAAAGUCCUGCGAAGCCUCCUUGGAAAGGUCGCACAGAAUUCAAGGAAGGCAGUGCUGCAAAUUCCAGGCAUUCGCAAAGUAGCUUUCAUUGAGAAGUUUAUCUAUCAAAAU